AGAAUCAGAGGUGGCAAGGAAUUGCAUUUUGGUUUUACACUCUCAGACAUCACAGAAUGGCCUGGGUUGGAAGGGACCAAGGAUCAUGAAGCUCCAACCCCCCUGCUGGGCAGGGCCACCAACCUCCCCAUUUGCUAGACCAGGUUGCCCAGGGCCCCAUCCAACCUGGCCUUGAACACCUUCAGGGACGGGGCAUCCACAACCUCUCUGGGCAGCCCAUUCCAGCACCUCACCACUCUCCUGUUUGUAAGGCAUGUAUGCCAAUGAAUGAACAUAUGAAGUACAUGGAAGAGGUCAGAACUGGACUUUGGAUGGCAGGUGGUGAGCAAUUGCUUGUGUAUCACUUGUUUUGUGUGUGUAUAUAUGUUUCUAUACUAUAUAUACACAUAAUUAUCAAUAUCUUUUUUUUCCCUCUUCCCUUUCUGUCUUACUAAAUCAUUUUUAUCUCAGUACACAAGUUCUUCAUUUGUUUUUUCUUUCUUUCAGUUCUCCCCUCACACCCCCAUCUCAAUGGGAGGUGGGGAGUGAGUGGAUGACUGUGUGGUGCUUUGCUACCUGCCAGGUUAAAACACAAUGUUAAGCCUUACUGAAGCAACCCCAAAGUUUAUUCAGACCAUUUUUGCAUUUCUGCUUUGUUUUCUGAGAGUUUACAAUUCUUCAGUAUUAUUUCACACCAAUGCUCCUUAAUGGUAAUUACAUAUAAAGGUUACAGCUUGCAGCAGGUCCUAGAAAGAGACUUUAAGAAGGAAAUAGAUCAACAAAGUAAUCAAGUGCUGCUUGGUUUUCCUGUUCCCUAUCCAUCCACUGUGCUGUUACUUAAGGCAAUGACAGCAGUUUCUGACAGUGAGAAACGGAGUUUGAGAUUAGUUACAUUUUUACAUCUUAAAUAAUAUUGAAAUAAGUACAUUCUAAAAUGGCUUAAAGCGUUGUUAGUUCAUUAGCACGUUUACUCUAUUAAGACUGGAGGGCAUGGAAAUGUAAUAUGCAUUUGGUGAGUGUGGUCAUGAAAGCCUCAGGUGAUGGUUUAGGGAAUGUCUGUGCUUUUAGAAAGAGUGGCAGGAUUUUGGAUGCCUAUGUUAGGAAACAGUACAUUACUAUGGUUACUGACUGUGAGAUGUUUAAUCUUGACAACAACGCAUCCAGUCUAAUGGACAGCAAGUAGAACCAGUUUUCUUCUCACAUUUUCUCCAUCAUCUCCAUUCUGUCAAUGAAUCCCAUGUUGAUUGGCCAAACUCAUUAGGAUGUCUUAUUUUUAAAUGGAAUGCAUUUGGUAUUGAGGUGGAAGAGUAGUAGUCGCAGAUGGGUUGCUUUUAAGGCAUAGGUAUCACCCAGAGCAGAGCUUUUGUUCCAUAAAGUUCCUCUGUGUUGUAACUUGUCAAAGGGUCUCACUUCAAAUGUAAUAAUAAUCUUUAGCAUCUACAUUAUUUUCAGCUGGGAUGCUAGCUCAGUGCAGGCUCAGCUGAACUUGCUGUUAGCAGUUCAUCUUAGUGACAAGGCUUCAUUCUAUCUAUUGAAGGCUUCAUUUUAGUGUUUCAGCAUUUUUCCAUUGUCUGCAACAGAGAGCGGAUCAUUCAAGCUCUUACAUUUCCAGUGCUGUGGAUAC
ensembl:lncRNA